GAUGAACGCUGGCGGCGUGCCUAAUACAUGCAAGUCGAGCGAACAGACGAGAAGCUUGCUUCUCUGACGUUAGCGGCGGACGGGUGAGUAACACGUGGAUAACCUACCUAUAAGACUGGGAUAACUUCGGGAAACCGGAGCUAAUACCGGAUAAUAUAUUGAACCGCAUGGUUCAAUAGUGAAAGACGGUCUUGCUGUCACUUAUAGAUGGAUCCGCGCCGCAUUAGCUAGUUGGUAAGGUAACGGCUUACCAAGGCAACGAUGCGUAGCCGACCUGAGAGGGUGAUCGGCCACACUGGAACUGAGACACGGUCCAGACUCCUACGGGAGGCAGCAGUAGGGAAUCUUCCGCAAUGGGCGAAAGCCUGACGGAGCAACGCCGCGUGAGUGAUGAAGGUCUUCGGAUCGUAAAACUCUGUUAUUAGGGAAGAACAAAUGUGUAAGUAACUAUGCACAUCUUGACGGUACCUAAUCAGAAAGCCACGGCUAACUACGUG
rnacentral:rRNA from 1 species